AAGGGAGGAGCUCUCGGCGCUCCUGUCCCCGGAAUCACCCGGAGGCGGUUGGAAUUAACUGUCCAGGCUCCGCCACCAGCGCUCGGCCGCCGACUCCGGCUCCGGAAGGGAGGCCCGGGACGCGGCGGUUUUGUUAUUGGCAGGGAAGAGACCUGGGUUCCCGAUCGAACACAGAGGCCGAGCGCAGCAGUCCCCCACUGGGGUGCUGGGACCGCCCCUCGGGUGGGCGGACGGCUUUAGCUUCCUACCCCGGGUUGUGACCGGGUGGGGUCACAUAAGUUCAGGUCCACGCCCUGCUCGGUGCCGGCGCCAGGAGAGCCAGGAAGACGCGGCCCGGCUUGCGGGGGGUAGAGGGACACACUUGCGCUGCGGGACCAGUCUCCUGAGGCUGCACGGGUCAAUGACAUGAGGAAGACCGAAGGAGGCUGCUGGGUGUGGACACAAAGAGAUGGAGCAGACGCUUAUGGGCUCCUUCAUCCUUCCAGAACAGACUCUCCAAGCAAAGUCUAAACCAGUCACAUUGAAGCUCCUAGGGUUACUUCAUUAAUAAUAUUUCAGGCCGGGCGUGGUGGCUCACGCCUGUAAUCCCAGCACUUUGGGAGCCUGAGGCGGGAGGAUCACAAGAUUAGGAGUUCAAGACCAGCCUGGCCAAUAUGGUGAAAUCCCGUCUCUACAAAAAGUUAGCCAGGCGUGGUGGCGGGCGCCUGUAGUCCCAGCUACUCGGGAGGCUGAGGCAGGAGAAUGGCUUGAGCCCAGGAGGCGGAGGUUGCAGUGAGCCGAGAUUGCACCACUACACUCCAGCCUGGGCAACAGAGCAAGACUCUGUCUCAAAUAAUAAUAAUAAUAAUAAUACUUCAAAAAGACUUCAAAUUGAAGUCUUUUUUUUUUUUUUUUUUUUGAGACGGAUUCUCGCUCCGUCGCCCAGGCUGGAGUACAAUCGUGUGAUCUUGGCUCACUGCAACCUCCGCCUCCUGGGUUCAAGCCAUUCUCUGGCCUCAGCCUCCUGAGUAGCUGGUAUUACAGGCUUGUGCCAACAUGCCUGGCUAAUUUUUGUAUUUUUAGUAGAGACGGGGUUUCAUCUUGUUGUCCAGGCUGGUCAUGAACUCCUGACCUUAAGUGAUCUGCCUGCCUCAGCCUCCCAAAGUGCUGGGAUUACAGGUGUGAGCCACCACGCCCGGCUGCACUAAUUAUUUGUAAUGGUAAAGAGUGUAAGCUUCCCUAGGAGGACUGUCUCCCAGUUCUGCACUAGGGGAUAAAUUGUAAUGGUCAAGGUUCUUUCAGCAGUAAGUGACAGAAAACCAGCUAAAACCAGCUCAAGCGCAAAAGGGAAUGUCAUGCCUCUGGAAGCUGGGAGGUCCAAGGGACUCAAAUAUCAUUGUAAUCCCCAGCUUUUUUUUUUGCUCUGUCACCCAGGCUGGAGUGCAGGGGCGUGGUCUUGGUUCACUGCAGCCUCGAACUCCUGGGCUCAAGUGAUCCUCCUGCCUCAGCCUCUGGAGUAGUUGAGACUACAGGCAUGCGCCACCGCCAGGCUUCCUCCCUCUCUUGGCUCUGCUUCCCUCAGGUAUGGGGCUCAUUUUCUCCCACUGUUGACUGGCUUCCUCCUUUUCCAGGGGAAGGAAGUAGGCCAAGGUAUAGACAGCUCCUGACUUAGAUUGUUCCUGCCUUGUGAGCUUGGAGGAAAGAGAAAGCUUCUCUUUCUCAGAGGCCCAGAAGCUUCUCUUUCUCCUGGAGUCUGUCCUGACCUGCUCAUUCCUGGACCAGUCUCUGUGGCCAGAGGAAUACGGCACUGUGAUUGAACAAACCUGAGUCACGUGGCCAGAGGGAGGCUGUUGUGAUUGGCUGUCCCACUGGAACCACAUGGAGUCGGGUGGGUGAUGGAGAGUUUCGUAGGAGAUGGACACUGCUGUUACCAGGAAGAUGAAAUCUAUUUGAUGCAACAUUAUAUUCCAGGAAACGUUAUAGCUGCAAAGACCACGUAGCGACAUGAAAAUUGGUUAUAAAGCAAUGCUAAGAGAACAAGGCAGAAGACAGACUUGAAACUAUGAUGGCACAUUUGGAAUAUGAAAAAAUAGAAAACUUUUGCUCUGUAAGGGUGGUAGAAGAAUGAAUUAUUACGUCAAAAACCUUCAGUGUCUUUGCAAAAGUAUUUUAUAAUAAAUAAC
rnacentral:lncRNA from 10 species